UACGUAGGGUCCGAGCGUUGUCCGGAAUUACUGGGCGUAAAGAGCUCGUAGGUGGUUUGUCGCGUUGUUCGUGAAAACUCACAGCUUAACUGUGGGCGUGCGGGCGAUACGGGCAGACUUGAGUACUGCAGGGGAGACUGGAAUUCCUGGUGAUAGCGGUGAAAUGCGCAGAUAUCAGGAGGAACACCGGUGGCGAAGGCGGGUCUCUGGGCAACAACUGACGCUGGAGGAGCGAAAGCCGUGGGGAGCGAACAGG
rnacentral:rRNA from 1 species